UAAAGGCUGCAGCCCAUCUUGCAGCCAGCUGUUGGCCACCAGCUGAAUACUCCCUUCACAGGAAUAACAUGGAACAUACCUUGGAACUCCAUAAUGAAGGAGGUUAUCAUCCAGGAGUUAUACCCUGCUUGUUUUUAAACCUGCAAAGGGAAGAUACUGUGAACAAAGCAGUGAAGGCUCUCAGGUUCCUCCCCAGGUGCCAGGAGAGGAGUGGGGCUGUUUUGGAUCACCUGAGCACAGGGCUGGAUGCAACUGGGUUCUCAACAUCUGAAAGGGAUGGCGAAAUAAAUUACACAGAUCCCUGUGCAAGUCUGAUCAAGCUCUCAAAGGUGAGCCUUGCCAAAGAACUGCCUGCCUACCUAUGUCCUCAUUCCACGAUCCAGGUGACUUUUGUUCCACGGAGCCACACCUCAGCCUCUCACCUCACCGGGAGAGAAAACCUCCCAGACGUCUCAGUUUUGCAACCGAGCAGUUGUGCCCUUGUCGUGCUUCCAGCAUUUCCUCACAGCCCGCACUCAGAAACGAGGGCUGCGAGUCCCAGCCUCAGCAGGAACGUCUCCCCCAUCAUUAAAUAA
rnacentral:lncRNA from 1 species